rnacentral:RNase_P_RNA from 1 species
UGGGAUGCCCAUGCGGUCGCGUGCCGGAGAGAUCCGGCCCGAGGAACGUCCGGGCUCCACAGGGCACGAUGGUGGGUAACGCCCACCCGGGGUGACCCGAGAGCAAGUGCAGCAGAGAGCAGACCGCCGGCGGGGCUCAGGCCCGGUCGGCAAGGGUGAAACGGUGGUGUAAGAGACCACCAGUGGUCGUGGUGACACGGCCAGCUGGGCAAACCUCAUCGGGAGCAAGACCGAGCAGGAGGCGGGCGGCCCGUCCAUGCCUCCGGGUAGGUCGCUGGAGCGCGUCAGCGAUGGCGCGCCGAGAGAGAUGGCCGCACCCGGUCGGGGUCUUCCCGACCGGCGACAGAACCCGGCGUAUCGGGCAUCCCAUCCA